UUGGGCUGCACACGUGCUACAAUGGCCGGUACAAUGAGCUGCGAUACCGUGAGGUGGAGCGAAUCUCAAAAAGCCGGUCUCAGUUCGGAUUGGGGUCUGCAACUCGACCCCAUGAAGUCGGAGUCGCUAGUAAUCGCAGAUCAGCAUUGCUGCGGUGAAUACGUUCCCGGGCCUUGUACACACCGCCCGUCACGUCACGAAAGUCGGUAACACCCGAAGCCGGUGGCCCAACCCCUUGUGGGAGGGAGCUGUCGAAGGUGGGACCAGCGAUUGGGACGAAGUCGUAACAAGGUAGCCGUACCGGAAGGUGCGGCUGGAUCACCUCCUUUCUA
rnacentral:rRNA from 1 species